rnacentral:rRNA from 1 species
GAUGAACGCUGGCGGCGUGCCUAACACAUGCAAGUCGAGCGAUCUUCUUCGGAAGAGAGCGGCGGACGGGUGAGUAACGCGUGGGUAACCUGCCUCAUACACAUGGAUAACAUACCGAAAGGUAUGCUAAUACAAGAUGAUAUAAGAGAUUCGCAUGGAAUUCUUAUCAAAGCUCCGGCGGUAUGAGAUGGACCCGCGGCUGAUUAGCUAGUUGGUAAGGUAACGGCUUACCAAGGCGACGAUCAGUAGCCGACCUGAGAGGGUGAUCGGCCACAUUGGAACUGAAACACGGUCCAAGCUACUACGGGAGGCAGCAGUGAGGAAUAUUGCACAAUGGGCGAAAGCCUGAUGCAGCAACGCCGCGUGAGUGAUGACGGCCUUCGGGUUGUAAAGCUCUGUCUUCAGGGACGAUAAUGACGGUACCUGAGGAGGAAGCCACGGCUAACUACGUGCCAGCCGCCGCAGUAAAAC